rnacentral:misc_RNA from 1 species
UCCGAGUUGACCCCGGCAGUCUCCUACGAGUCCCCGGCCGAACCGCUGGCAACAUAGGACAAGGGUUGCGCUCGUUGCGGGACUUAACCCAACAUCUCACGACACGAGCUGACGACAGCCAUGCAGCACCUGUGCAAGCUCCCCUUGCGAGGUCGUCCCACUUUCAUGGUCCUACCACUUGCAUAUCAAGGCCAGGUAAGGUUCUUCGCGUUGCAUCGAAUUAAGCCACAUACUCCACCGCUUGUGCAGGCCCCCGUCAAUUUCUUUGAGUUUUAAUCUUGCGACCGUACUUCCCAGGCGGCACGUUUAUCGCGUUAGCUUCGCCACAAAAGGGGUCGAUACCCGCUACACCAAGCAUCCAUCGUUUACAGCUAGGACUAC